CAGAGGUCUCGAGCGUUAGGCGGAAUCACUGGGCUUAAAGCGUGUGUAGGCGGGUCGUUAAGUACCUUGUGAAAUCCCAUGGCUCAACCAUGGAACUGCUGGGUAUACUGGCGAUCUUGUGCAACCUAGGGGCGAGCGGAACAGAUGGUGGAGCGGUGAAAUGCGUAGAUAUCAUCUGGAACGCCAAUGGUGAAAACAGCUCGCUGGGGGUUUGCAGACGCUGAGACACGAAAGCCAGGGGAGCGAACGGGAUUAGAUACCCCGGUAGUCCUGGCCCUAAACGAUGUCCACUAGAUCGUAGCUGCUCUGACGUAGUUAUGGUCGAAGCAAAAGUGCUAAGUGGACCGCCUGGGAAGUACGGUCGCAAGGCUA
rnacentral:rRNA from 1 species